rnacentral:rRNA from 1 species
UACAGAGGGUGCAAGCGUUAAUCGGAAUUACUGGGCGUAAAGCGUGCGUAGUCGGUUAUCUAAGUCGGGUGUGAAAUCCCCGGGCUCAACCUGGGAAUUGCAUUCGAUACUGGAUAGCUAGAGUUCGGCAGAGGGAAGCGGAAUUUCCGGUGUAGCGGUGAAAUGCGUAGAUAUCGGAAGGAACAUCAGUGGCGAAAGCGGCUUCCUGGACCAUUACUGACGCUGAGGCACGAAAGCUAGGGGAGCAAACAG